rnacentral:rRNA from 1 species
UACGUAGGGACCGAGCGUUGUCCGGAUUCAUUGGGCGUAAAGAGCUCGUAGGCGGCUAUUCAAGUCGAACGUGAAAUCUCGGAGCUCAACUCCGAAACUGCGUUCGAUACUGGGUAGCUAGAGUCUGGUAGGGGGGAUCUGGAAUUCCUGGUGUAGCGGUGGAAUGCGCAGAUAUCAGGAGGAACACCGGUGGCGAAGGCGGGAUCCUGGGCCAUAACUGACGCUGAGAAGCGAAAGCAUGGGGAGCGAACAGG